rnacentral:rRNA from 1 species
UAAUACGGAGGGGGCGAGCGUUGUUCGGAAUCACUGGGCGUAAAGCGUGCGUAGGCGGUUAUACAAGUCAGGAGUGAAAUCCCAGGGCUCAACCUUGGAAUUGCUUUUGAGACUGUAUGACUAGAGACCUAGAGAGGUUGGGGGAAUUCCCAGUGUAGCAGUGAAAUGCGCAGAUAUUGGGAGGAACACCAGUGGCGUAGGCGCCCAACUGGCUAGGUACUGACGCUGAGGCACGAAAGCGUGGGGAGCAAACAGGAUUAGAUACCCUGGUAGUCCACGCCGUAAACGAUGUGUGCUAGUUGCUGGAUCGCUUAGCGUUUCAGUGACGCAGCUAACGCAUUAAGCACACCGCCUGGGGAGUACGGUCGCAAGAUUAAAACUUAAAGGAAUUGACGG